CGCUGGUCUUCCCACACUGUUCUUGCUGUGAACCCCGUCAGGCCCGGAAGGGAGCAGCGGCAGCGGCGAGCACAGGUGCUGGGGCCGGGCUGGUGGGG
rnacentral:SRP_RNA from 1 species